rnacentral:rRNA from 1 species
GGAAGUGAACCAUCUCAGUACCCACAGGAACAGAAAACAACAGUGAUUCCGCUAGUAGCGGCGAGCGAACGCGGACAUAGCCCAAACCAUCGUGCUUGCACGGUGGGGUUGUAGGGCCUGUCUGGCCGUAAGGCCGGCGAGUUACCAUAUCAGCAUGCUAGUCGAACGGCCUGGAACGGCCGGCCACAGAGGGUGAAAGCCCCGUAGGCGAAAGCGUGCUGUCUCGCUGGGCAGGUUCCUGAGUACCGCGGGACACGAGAAAUCCCGUGGGAAUCUGCGAGGACCAUCUCGCAAGGCUAAAUACUCCUCGGCGACCGAUAGUGAACCAGUACCGUGAGGGAAAGGUGAAAAGCACCCCUGUGAGGGGAGUGAAAUAGUACCUGAAACCGUAUGCCUACAAGCAGUGGGAGGGCGUUUGCCCGGGGCUUGCUCCGGGUGUUGCCUGACCGCGUGCCUUUUGCAUAAUGAGCCGGCUAGUUGCUCUCGGUGGCGAGGUUAAGCGUAAGCGAGCCGAAGCGAAAGCGAGUCCGAAAUGGGCGUUAAGUCGUCGGGAGCAGACGCGAAGCGAUGUGAUCUACCCUUGGCCAGGGUGAAGCGCGGGUAACACCGCGUGGAGGCCCGAACCAGUGUUGGUUGAAAACAACUUGGAUGAGCUGAGGGUAGGGGUGAAAGGCUAAUCAAACUUCGUGAUUGCCCGUUCUCCUCGAAAUGCCUUUAGGGGCAGCCUCGAGUGGUCGGCGCUGGUGGUAGAGAACUGGAAAGGGCUAAGGGGCUUACCACCUUACUGAACCCAACCAAACUGCGAAUGCCAGCGACACGUAGCUCGGGAGUGAGACGGUGGGGGCUAAGCUUCAUCGUCGAAAGGAAAACAGUCCAGACUACCGGCUAAGGUCCCAAACUCUAUGCUAAGUGGUAAAGGAUCUGGAGACGCUCCGACAACCAGGAGGUUGGCUUAGAAGCAGCCAUCCUUUAAAGAAAGCGUAAUAGCUCACUGGUCAAGCGGCUCUGGGCCGAUAAUCCACCGGGGCUCAAGCAUAGGACCGAAGCCGUAGAUUCGCCGUGGCCUGCGGGCCGCGGCAAUGGUAGAGGAGCGUUCUCUGCUGCAUUGAAGCCAGACCGUGAGGACUGGUGGAGUGCAGAGAAGUGACCCUGCCGGCAUAAGUAGCGAUAAGAGAGGUGAGAAUCCUCUCCGCCGUAAGCCUAAGGUUUCCUGAGGAAGGUUCGUCCGCUCAGGGUUAGUCGGGUCCUAACGCGAGGCCGAAAGGCGUAGCGGAUGGAUAUCCGGUCAAUAUUCCGGAACUACCUGGAGAUCGUUAUUACGAUGGGGGGACGCAGGAGGCUAGCCAGGCCCACGAUUGGACGUGUGGGUUGAGGCAUGUAGGGGGGUCCGCCAGGCAAAUCCGGCGGGUCACAUUCCCUGAGGUGCUAUCGCGAGAGCCGCAAGGCUCGCAAAGCUGGUGACGCCACGCUGCCGAGAAAAGCCUCUAAGGAGAUCUUCGGGUACCCGUACCGCAAACCGACACAGGUAGGCGAGGAGAAAAUCCUCAGGCGCAAGUGAGAACCCUCGUUUAGGAACUCGGCAAACUUGCCCCGUAACUUCGGAAGAAGGGGUGCUCCAUUAUCGUGCGUCCGGUUCGCCCGGGCGUGCGCGAAGGAGUUGCAAUAAAGAGGGAGAAGCGACUGUUUACUAAAAACACAGGGCUCUGCUAAGUCGAACACGACGUAUAGGGUCUGACGCCUGCCCGGUGCCGGAAGGUUAAAGGGAGAGGUUAGCCGCAAGGCGACGCUUCGAACUGAAGCCCCGGUAAACGGCGGCCGUAACUAUAACGGUCCUAAGGUAGCGAAAUUCCUUGUC